rnacentral:misc_RNA from 1 species
GAUGAAGAACGCAGCGAAAUGCGAUACGUAAUGUGAAUUGCAGAAUUCAGUGAAUCAUCGAGUCUUUGAACGCACAUUGCGCCCCCUGGUAUUCCGGGGGGCAUGCCUGUCCGAGCGUCAUUGCUGCCCUCAAGCACGGCUUGUGUGUUGGGCCUCCGCCCCCCGGCUCCCGGGGGGCGGGCCCGAAAGGCAGCGGCGGCACCGCGUCCGGUCCUCGAGCGUAUGGGGCUUCGUCACCCGCUCCGUAGGCCCGGCCGGCGCCCGCCGGCGACCCCCCUCAAUCUUUCCGGGUUGACCUCGGAUCAGGUAGGGAUACCCGCUGAACUUAAGCAUAUCAAUAAGCGGAGGA